rnacentral:rRNA from 1 species
AAUGAACGCUGGCGGCGUGCCUAACACAUGCAAGUCGAACGAAAAGACGGGGAGCUUGCUCCCCUGACGUUAGCGGGGGACGGGUGAGUAACACGUGGAUAACCUACCUAUAAGACUGGGGUAACAACGGGAGACAAGAGCUAAUAACGAAUAAUAUAUCGACCCGGGUGGUUCAAGAGUGAAAGUCGGUAUUGGUGAGACUAAAAGACGGAUCCGGGUCGCAUUAGCUUGUUGGUAAGGUAACGGCUUACCAACGCGACGAUGCGUAGACGACCUGAGAGGGUGAUCAGCCACACUGUAACUGAGACACGGUCCAGACUCCUACGGUAGGCAGCAGUCGGGAAUCUUCCGCAAUGGGCGAGAGCCUGAUGUAGCAACGCCGCGUGAGUCAUGAAGGUCUUCGGAUCGUAAAGCUCUGUUGUUAGGAGAGAACAAAUGCGUAUGUACCCGUGCUCGUCUUGACGGUACCGAAAGAGAAAGCCCCGGCUAACUACGUG